UGUUAUCUUUAUUUAGGGCAACAUGGCGUGCAGGACAUUACGUAUCUCUGGCAAAUUGAGCAUAUUCAUAUCUAUGUAUUUGUUUAACUUAAAGACUUCUGAUCCCUGUCCAAUUAGCUGCAGAUAAGGUCUGCAAAUACUUCGUACAGACAUUGUACUAGCUCAAGGCAUUAUGUUGAAAAUAAAGAUAGUGUGUGUCUUUUAUUUUUGUUUCAUAUAUUACGUUACUUUGGGAAAACUUCAAACUGAUAAAUCCAAACGAUUAAUUUUACAUAGCGAUGAAGAUCUAGCGGCGGAAGUUCUGGCUUUGAAGAAUCAGGUUAACGCACAGGCCUCCGAAAUAAGUAACCUGAAACUGCAGCUUCUGCAAGAACAGUCUAAAGCAGACAUAACUUCAUCUUAUAUCCGGAAAGUCUGUCCUGGAAAGGUUCCACGGAGUUGUAUAAAGGUUUUAUGAGCGGUACCUUCUUGCCAAAUCAUGAUCAAAGCGGAACAGGAGCGGGUGCCAACUUCCUUUGCCUUCCAGAUACUCCACUGUGGGAUCAUUUUACCGAUAAAAAGGACAACGACAUUUCAGUAACAGGCGUGGAGUACAGUUUUUACCCACAUUUGAGCUCUGUUGAACAGAUUCAGUUCUUCGGGUCCUCUGUUGGUUAUAGUGAAGCUCCAUGUGCAGUUUGCCAAAUCGCUCGUGGUACAAACAUCAUGAUUCCCGGAAGGAACGAAUGCGUCGACGGCUGGACGACUGAAUACAGUGGUUACCUUGUGGCCGGUUACCCGGGGUAUGCAGAUUCUUCUGAAUACGUAUGCCUAGACAGGAGACUGGAAGUUGUUUUUUAUAGCGGAGAUACUAAAGCAGAAAACAAUUUAUACUUCGUAGAAAGCCACUGCGGUGGUACGCUACCUUGUCCUCCAUACGUUGAUGGUCGUGAACUCUCUCGCGCUGUUUGUUCUAAGUAAGGUCGUAUCUGUUUACAAGCUUGAAAUAUAAAUGAAAUAUUUUAAUUUUGCUUUGUCAAUAAUAAAUAUCAUUGCAGAGUUAAUGUCUAGGGCAAACAAAGGAGUUUCCGUUUAUAUACAAAGGACACGCGGGUGUCCCUCAGUUAUUGCAGUUACUGUAGAGGGGUCAAUUUAAACUAGAAAGAUGUCAGAUCGAUGACUCUAGUCCCUUUAUUUCCAAUAAAAAACAUAUGAACCCUGAUUUUACUAAGUUCUGAUGAAAGUUGCUACACUGUAAGAAAAAUGCGGAUAAUUUGGAAAACACAAGUAAUUGCCACAAACAAAUUACGGCAGUUACAAAAUUAAAUACUGAGCAGUUAACAAAUUGUUGAAUUUUCCUUAAAAUUUAUCAGUAAAAAGGGAUAUGCAUGUGUUUAUUUAAUUUUAUUUUUAUUUUUUUUUUUUUUUUUUUGAUGAAAGGAAACACAUUUACCACAUCUUAAUUAUACGGCGCAUAUUUUAAACAUUUAUCAUUUGGUAUACUUGCCUGUAUAUGAAACACAUAAAAAUUACUUUUAAUUAACAUAAUGAAGUUUGAUGGUCAGAGUUUUGGACGAUUUCUUACAUGUUUUCGCGACUUUAAAUUUUGACAACAACAUCUUAUUAUAUUAAACAACGCACUGUCGUUUAAAAAACAACUUGAAAAUCCCUAGGUAAGCCUUAUAUAUUGCGUUUACACAGACCUACCUUUAAAUCAGUUCCAGCACAUCACAAUGUUCGUAGUGCGAAUUGUUUUGCUUUAACAACAUAAUCUAACUUAAAUGGUAAAAGGCAGAAGAUUCAUCAUGAUUGUAAAACAUAUUUGUCAGUCUAUCCUCUAAAAACUUGGAUAUCAUCUGUAGCUUUUCUGUUCGUGUCCAAUUCUUUUAUUAUAUGAAUGUUUUUGCAAAAACAUUUUACAGCACCAAUUUAUAAAAGUAAUCAAACGGGGAUGUAUCAUUAUCAGACAAUAAAAAUUCACCGUAAUCGUCUAUUCCGCAAGUUUCUAUCGCAAACCGAUUGGUUCAAGAAUUCAAUGAAAUGGUGAAUUAAAACCUACAGCGGACAUUGAUUUUUUACAAUUAUCAAGAAUGAAGUUCAAAUAAUAAUUUAAGUGAAAACUCAACAAACCUAUUUGUUAAAAUGUGCUAUUAUUAAUGUUUCUAUACGGGGUAGCGUCCGUACUCUGAGCUUCGCAUAUUAUUUGAUAUAAUUUAGGAAAUGUACGGCCAUCCUUCCCUUUUUAAUUUACAUAAAGAAUAUCAUACAUGGGAAUGACCAAAGCUUCAUGCUAAAGGUAUGCAUACUUAUCCCGUAAAUAUACUGAAGGUUUUGCUUACAAUAUGCUAUAUUCUGUCCCUCUCCCCUUGAAAAUAACCAUAUGUACCGAAUUUCGAAA